GUGAGCAUAACUCAGUUGGUAGGACAAUGCAUUAUUAUAUGCAAGGGUCGGGGUUCGAAUCCCGAACACCUCACU
rnacentral:tRNA from 1 species